rnacentral:rRNA from 1 species
UACGGGGGGGGCAAGCGUUGUUCGGAAUUACUGGGCGUAAAGGGCGCGUAGGCGGUGCUCUAAGUCGGAUGUGAAAACUCUGGGCUCAACCCAGAGCCUGCAUCCGAAACUGGAGUGCUAGAGUUCUGGAGGGGGUAGCGGAAUUCCUGGUGUAGCGGUGAAAUGCGUAGAUAUCAGGAGGAACACCGGUGGCGAAGGCGACUUCCUGGCCUGUUCUUGACGCUGAGGCGCGAAAGCUAGGGGAGCAAACGGG